rnacentral:lncRNA from 1 species
GAAGACAAGAAAUACUGCAGAGCUCUGCAACAAGAUUUGAGGGCUUGAGAUGUGACCUUUGGCCUUUCUUCCCAAGCGUGUCUACAUGAAUAUGAAAAUACCGACUACAUCUCUUUGAAAAUAUGGCCAUGUAACAGUGGUAGUAAGUCUGAAUUCUCUUCUGGUAAAUGAGCAGAGCUGCUUGAGCCCAUAGAUCUCUUCAAUGACUGGAUGGAACAGAGAAAGAGAACCUUUGUCAAAGAUCAAUUAUUUCUUAAUUGCAGGAUCUAUCACUGGAAGAACAUUUUUUAAGGAAAGAAACAGCAGUGUAAUCACAUCCAGAACUGCUUCAGAGAGCUGGCAUGGACUGUGCUGUCAUCCUACUAAACAAAUGAGGAGCUGAAGAAACAGACUUGGUAGAAUAUUUUUUUAAAUUUUAUUUUUCAAUGAAACUUCAAGUACUAUGGUUUGUUUGACAUUUGCACUGGAAAUGGUAUGGCUCCUGAGAGCAUGGCUACUUGUAUAAGGUAAUGUUUUUGCUUUGUUCUUAGAUAUGUUAG